ensembl:lncRNA
GAUGUAAGUGCUAUGGUUGGGAAGAAACCUAUCUAAAGUUUUGUUAACUGAAGGACACCUUGGUAACUGACUUGAGAGUUUCCUUAUCAAGGAGCAGCAAGGAUGGAGAAUCCAUGGUUACCCUUGACAGUGUUGAGGUUUGUCCGAUUCCUGUGCUCUAAAAAAACAAUGAUGAUUAAGGAAUUCUUUGCUACUUAUCUUUGAAAAUAGCUAACUGCGAGGGAUCACUCUUCCUCAUGACUCAGAUUAAGAAUCUUCCUCAUAACUCCCUUGUUUGACUACCUCUGUAAAACCUCAGACUGCCUUCCUUUAUUCUGAAAAUUUUCUUCAGAAAUGAACUUUCUUACUAUUGCAAUAGGGUAAAAAAAUUUUCGUCUGAAUUGUUUAAUGCUUUUUUUCUUUCACAUAUUUAUAACAUGGCUCACAAUCAGAACCUCAUUUUCAAACCUUCACUCAUCCCAGGCCUGUUUGAUUGUCUCUGGACAGGUGCCCCUGGAUCCAAACAGGAGUCUUACUCAUCUACAGGAGAACAAGAACUUGAUUGUGAUUAUUUUUGACUACUGACUUUAUUUUUGAUACUUGUUUCUUGCACUUUGGGUUUUAUUUUUGAUUUUUAAUAGCUAAUAAGUUAUCCUAUAUUGGAAAUUUGAUGUAAUGAUCUAACAAUUUGGUUAUCUCAAUAAACAGACAAAUAGUUUAUAGAGAUCUUCAAUAUAUUGAGUGAGAGACAACAGGUAAUCUGGUUCGUUAGUCUUCUCUAUCACCUGUUUGGAGCUCAAAUAAAUUAAGAAUGGGUCCAUACUGGGAAGAGAACAGAUCUAUGUAUGUGUGAGCUUUUCUUAUUUGUGUUUACUCUUGACCAAGGGAUGUGAUUUACAAUUGAAGUUAUAAGGUCUUGAUAUGUGUCUGUAUGUAUGUUUAUGUAUCUGUAAUUCAGAGAAGUCUUUAUCACACUUAUUGAGUGUGUAGUAAUUGCCUACCUCUAAAUGGUAUUACCAAAUUAGAUUAUGAAAUUUCAAAAAGGAGCUACAAUAUGAUUGGUUUAGAGAUAAAUGGCUGUAUAGAAAAAUAUUAUUCUUAACUUUAAAAAAUAAAAUGUCUUGGUUUGCUUUGUGUUGCUGUAAAGGAGUAUCUGAGGCUUGGUAAUUUCUAAAAAAAAACCCAGAGGUUUACUUGCCUCACAGUUCUGCAGGCUGCACAAGAAACAUGACGCCAGCUAGCAUCUGCUUUUGGUGAGGGCUUCGGGGAGCUUCCUCUCAUGGCAGAAGGGAAGAAGAGAGCAUAUAUUACAUGUCAAGAGAGGAAGGAAGGAAAAGAGGAGGGAGGUUCCAGGUUGUUUCCCACAAUCAUCUCUGGCAAAAACUAAUAGAGCAAGGAUUUACUCAUUACCUGGAUGGUGCCAAGAUAUUCAUGAGGGUUCUGCCCUCAUGAUUCAGAUGUCUCACAGAAGACUCCACCUCCAACAUUGGAGAUCACAUUUCAACAUGGGAUUCAGAGUGAACAAAUACGCAAACUUUAUUAGAAAAUGAUGAAAUUAAACUUUUAAGACUUCAAC